GGGAUUGCCCUAGUAACGGCGAGUGAAGCGGCAACAGCUCAAAUUUGAAAUCUGGCGCAAGCCCGAGUUGUAAUUUGUAGAGGAUGCUUCUAGGUAGCGACCGGUCUAAGUUCCUUGGAACAGGACGUCAUAGAGGGUGAGAAUCCCGUAUGUGACCGGCCCGCACCUUCUACGUAGCUCCUUCGACGAGUCGAGUUGUUUGGGAAUGCAGCUCUAAAUGGGAGGUAAAUUUCUUCUAAAGCUAAAUACCGGCCAGAGACCGAUAGCGCACAAGUAGAGUGAUCGAAAGAUGAAAAGCACUUUGGAAAGAGAGUUAAAAAGCACGUGAAAUUGUUGAAAGGGAAGCGCUCACAACCAGACUUCUGGGCGGUGUUCCGCCGGUCUUCUGACCGGUCUACUCACCGUCCCGAGGCCAACAUCAUCUGGGACCGCUGGAUAAGACCUCAGGAAUGUAGCUUCCCUCGGGAAGUGUUAUAGCCUGUGGUGAUGCAGCGCGUCUCGGGUGAGGUCCGCGCUUCGGCAAGGAUGUUGGCGUAAUGGUUGUCAGCGGCCCGUCUUGAAACACGGACCAAGGAGUCUAACAUCUAUGCGAGUGUUCGGGUGUCAAACCCCUACGCGUAAUGAAAGUGAACGGAGGUGGGAAGCGUAAGCUGCACCAUCGACCGAUCCUGAUGUCCUCGGAUGGAUUUGAGUAAGAGCAUAGCUGUUGGGACCCGAAAGAUGGUGAACUAUGCCUGAAUAGGGUGAAGCCAGAGGAAACUCUGGUGGAGGCUCGCAGCGGUUCUGACGUGCAAAUCGAUCGUCAAAUUUGGGUAUAGGGGCG
rnacentral:rRNA from 1 species